rnacentral:rRNA from 1 species
UACGUAGGGUGCGAGCGUUGUCCGGAAUUAUUGGGCGUAAAGAGCUUGUAGGCGGUUUGUCGCGUCUGCUGUGAAAAUCCGGGGCUCAACCCCCGGACUUGCAGUGGGUACGGGCAGACUAGAGUGUGGUAGGGGAGACUGGAAUUCCUGGUGUAGCGGUGGAAUGCGCAGAUAUCAGGAGGAACACCGAUGGCGAAGGCAGGUCACUGG